GAUGAACGCUGGCGGCGUGCCUAAUACAUGCAAGUCGAGCGAACAGACGAGGAGCUUGCUCCUCUGACGUUAGCGGCGGACGAGUGAGUAACACGUGGAUAACCUACCUAUAAGACUGGGAUAACUUCGGGAAACCGGAGCUAAUACCGGAUAAUAUAUUGAACCGCAUGGUUCAAUAGUGAAAGACGGUUUUGCUGUCACUUAUAGAUGGAUCCGCGCCGCAUUAGCUAGUUGGUAAGGUAACGGCUUACCAAGGCAACGAUGCGUAGCCGACCUGAGAGGGUGAUCGGCCACACUGGAACUGAGACACGGUCCAGUCUCCUACGGGAGGCAGCAGUAGGGAAUCUUCCGCAAUGGGCGAAAGCCUGACGGAGCAACGCCGCGUGAGUGAUGAAGGUCUUCGGAUCGUAAAACUCUGUUAUUAGGGAAGAACAAAUGUGUAAGUAACUAUGCACGUCUUGACGGUACCUAAUCAGAAAGCCACGGCUAACUACGUG
rnacentral:rRNA from 1 species